CCUACGGGUGGCUGCAGUGAGGAAUAUUGGUCAAUGGGCGCGAGCCUGAACCAGCCAAGUAGCGUGAAGGAUGACUGCCCUACGGGUUGUAAACUUCUUUUAUAAUGGAAUAAAGUGAGGCACGUGUGCCUUUUUGUCUGUACUUUCUGAAUAAGGAUCGGCUAACUCCGUGCCAGCAGCCGCGGUAAUACGGAGGAUACGAGCGUUAUCCGGAUUUAUUGGGUUUAAAGGGAGCGUAGAUGGGUUGUUAAGUCAGUUGUGAAAGAUUGCGGCUCAACCGUAAAAUUGCAAUUGAUACUGGUAGUCUUGAGUACAGUUGAGGUAGGCGGAAUUCGUAGUGUAGCGGUGAAAUGCGUAGAUAUCACGAAGAACUCCGAUUGCGAAGGCAGCUUACUAAACUGCCACUGACAUUGAUGCUCGAAAGUGUGGGUAGCAAACAGGAUUAGAUACCCGAGUAGUC
rnacentral:rRNA from 1 species